rnacentral:rRNA from 1 species
AGCAGCCGCCGCGGUAAUACGAAGGGUGCAAGCGUUACUCGGAAUUACUGGGCGUAAAGGGUGCGUAGGUGGUUUUUUAAGUCCAUUGUGAAAUCCCUGGGCUCAACCUGGGAAUGGCAGUGGAUACUGGAAAGCUAGAGUGCGGUAGAGGGUAGUGGAAUUCCCGGUGUAGCAGUGAAAUGCGUAGAGAUCGGGAGGAACACCAGUGGCGAAGGCGGCUACCUGGACCAGCACUGACACUGAAGCACGAAAGCGUGGGGAGCAAACAGGAUUAGAUACCCGUGUAGUCCCUGUCUCUUAUAA